rnacentral:sRNA from 1 species
UACCGCCUCCUGGCCGGCCUCGCGCCUUUCACCGGCACCUUGCGUCGGUCGCGCCGCGGGGCCUGCUCCUGCCGCGCGCACCCCCGGGGCUUCGGCUCCGGCACGGGUCGCGCCCAGCUUUCCUGCACCUGAGGCCGCCGGCCAGCCGCCGCCAUGGGUGCCUACCUCUCCCAGCCCAACACGGUGAAGUGCUCCGGGGACGGGGUCGGCGCCCCGCGCCUGCCGCUGCCCUACGGCUUCUCCGCCAUGCAAGGCUGGCGCGUCUCCAUGGAGGAUGCUCACAACUGUAUUCCUGAGCUGGACAGUGAGACAGCCAUGUUUUCUGUCUACGAUGGACAUGGAGGUAACUUUAACAGAUCAUAUUGGUAACAUUCUAGGACCCCAAUUCCAGACGUUCCAAGGCAAGAACAGGUCCCUUGUUCAUUUACUUUCCAGGGUCUGGCCCUCAUUAUCAUUUCCUGCCUGGUGCUGUUUUUCUGUAUUCUGUCAUUCUUUUUUCCCAGUAGGUACUGUAUUGGUUUAUAAUCUCACCAGGACUUGUUUUAAUCCAAAGAGCCUCUAUCUUUUUUUAUUUUUAUUUUUUAAAAUUUUUAGGCCGGGCACGCAGUAGGUCACACCUGUAAUCCCGGCACAGUGGAUCACGAGGUCAGGAGUUCGAGACCAGCCUGACCAAUAUGGUGAAACCCCAUCUCUACUAAAAAUACAAAAAUGAGCUGGGCGUAGUAGCGGGCGCCUGUGGUCCCAGCUGCUCGGAAGGCUGAGGCAGGAGAAUCGCUUGAACCUGGGAGGUGGAGGUUGCAGUGAGCCAAGACCAUGCCACUGCACUCCAGCCUGG